AUUGAACGCUGGCGGCAGGCCUAACACAUGCAAGUCGAACGAGUGGCGGACGGGUGAGUAAUGUCUGGGAAACUGCCUGAUGGAGGGGGAUAACUACUGGAAACGGUAGCUAAUACCGCAUACCAUCGGCUUUGCCCAGCGGGGAUAAGCUAGUAGGUGGGGUAAAGGCUCACCUAGGCGACGAUCCCUAGCUGGUCUGAACGGAUGACCCGCCACGCUGGAACUGAGCCACUGUCCAGACUCCUACGUGAGGCAGCAGUGGGGAAUAUUGCACAAUGGGCGCAAGCCGGAUGCAGCCAUGCCGCGUGUAUGAAGAAGUCCUUCGGGUUGUAAAGUACUUUCAGCGGGGAGGCGUUACCCGCAGAAGAAGCACCGGGUAACUCCGUGCCAGCAGCCGCGGUAAUAC
rnacentral:rRNA from 1 species